ensembl:lncRNA
UUCUAGUCUGUCAUUUAACUCUUCUUAAAAAUCCCAUGUGCAGCAGUUAUGAUAAAAAUCAUUUCUUGAACUGCUGUCUUCCAGAGAGCUGAAAAACAUGUCACUACUCUCUGCUUGGGCUGACCUGCUGGUAUUCGUGUUCAAUGCCUAAUAUGUGCAAUGUAUGAGAACUGGAGAGAUGACAGAUGACAUCAACUGUAGGAGAAUCACAGAAUCAUAGGAGUUGGAAGGGAUCUCCGGAGAUCAUCAAGUCCAACCUACCUAUAAAGCAGCUUCCCUACACUAGAUUGCACAGGAAAGCAUGCAGGGCUUCAAAAGGGAAGGAAGCCAUUUCUGCACACUAAGCUUUGAAAGUGAGCUGCUUUGUGAAAACUCCCCGCAGUGCUGUGUCGCUGAAGAGAACAGUUUGAAAAU